AUUGAACGCUGGCGGCAUGCCUAACACAUGCAAGUCGAGCGAGCGGCGGCCGGUUGAGUAAUGUCUGGGAAACUGCCUGUUGGAGGGGGAUAACUCCUGGAAACGGUAGCUAAUACCGCAUACCAUCAGAUGUGCCCAGAUGGGAUUCGCUAGUAGGUGGGGUAACGGCUUACAUAGGCGACGAUCCCUAGCUGGUCUGAGAGGAUGACCAGCCACACUGGAACUGAGACACGGACCAGAGUCCUACGGGAGGCAGCAGUGGGGAAUAGUGCACAAUGGGCGAAAGGCUGAUGCAGCCAUGCCGCGUGUGUGAAGAAGGCCUUCGGGUUGUAAAGCACUUUAAGCGGGGAGGCGUUACCCGCAGAAGAAGCACCGGCUAACUCCGUGCCAGCAGCCGCGGUAAUUC
rnacentral:rRNA from 1 species